GAUGAACGCUGGCGGCGUGCUUAACACAUGCAAGUCGAACGGGAAACCUUUUAAUGAAGCUUCGGCAGAUUUAGCUGGUUUCUAGUGGCGGACGGGUGAGUAACGCGUGGGUAACCUGCCUUAUACAGUGGGAUAACAGUCAGAAAUGACUGCUAAUACCGCAUAAGCGCACAGGACCGCAUGGUCCGGUGUGAAAAACUCCGGUGGUAUAAGAUGGACCCGCGUUGGAUUAGCUUGUUGGUGGGGUAACGGCUCACCAAGGCGACGAUCCAUAGCCGGCCUGAGAGGGUGAACGGCCACAUUGGGACUGAGACACGGCCCAGACUCCUACGGGAAGCAGCAGUGGGGAAUAUUGCACAAUGGGGGAAACCCUGAUGCAGCGACGCCGCGUGAAGGAAGAAGUAUCUCGGUAUGUAAACUUCUAUCAGCAGGGAAGAUAGUGACGGUACCUGACUAAGAAGCCCCGGCUAACUACGUG
rnacentral:rRNA from 1 species